AUUCCUGUACUAUGAUAUGACAGAACUGUGGGGACACGUGCAGAGAGUGGAAGCCGGGAAUGGAAUCCCGGUGCAAGCGGGGUACCAGUCACAUUGGAAAAACCGCGUGGCAAUGGGAAGACGUGAUGCGGAGUGAAAAAUAGUAACGAAGUCCGUGAGCUGUGCGUCAAGAAAAGCCGCUAUUGUUCAUACCAUACCCGUACCGUAAACCGACACAGGUGGAUGAGGAGAGAAUCCUAAGGCCGGCGGAAGAAGCAUUGUCAAGGAACUCGGCAAAAUGACCCCGUAACUUCGGGAGAAGGGGUGCCACUGAAAAGUGGCCGCAGAGAAUAGGCUCAAGCAACUGUUUAGCAAAAACACAGGUCUAUGCGAAACCGUAAGGUGAGGUAUAUGGGCUGACGCCUGCCCGGUGCUGGAAGGUUAAGAGGAGAGGUUAGCGCAAGCGAAGCUUUGAAUUUAAGCCCCAGUAAACGGCGGCCGUACUAUAACGGUCCUAAGGUAGCGAAAUUCCUUGUCGGGUAAGUUCCGACCCGCACGAAAGGCGUAAUGAUUUGAGCGCUGUCUCGACAAUGCAUCCGGUGAAAUUGAAGUACCAGUGAAGAUGCUGGUUACCUGCGCCAGGACGGAAAGACCCCAUGGAGCUUUACUCCAGUUUGGUACUGGGAUCCGGUACUGCAUGUACAGGAUAGGUGGGAGGCUGUGAAAUAGUAACGCCAGUUAUUAUGGAGCCGCUGUUGGGAUACCACCCUUGCAGUAUUGGGUUUCUAACCAGCCGCCGUGACCCGGCGGUGGGACAAUGCCAGACGGGGAGUUUUGACUGGGGCGGUCGCCUCCGAAAGGGUAUCGGAGGCGCCCAAAGGUUCCCUCAGAAUGGACGGAAACCAUUCGAAGAGUGCAAAGGCAGAAGGGAGCUUGACUGCGACACCGACGGGUGGAGCAGGUACGAAAGUAGGGCUUAGUGAUCCGGUGGUAUUAAGUGGGAAUGCCAUCGCUCAACGGAUAAAAGCUACCCUGGAUAACAGGCUUAUCACUCCCAAGAGUUCACAUCGACGGAGUGGUUUGGCACCUCGAUGACGGCUCAUCGCAUCCUGGGGCUGUAGUAGGUCCCAAGGGUUGGGCUGUUCGCCCAUUAAAGCGGUACGCGAGCUGGGUUCAGAACGUCGUGAGACAGUUCGGUCCCUAUCCGGCGUGGGCGUAGGAUAUCUGAGAGGAGCUGUCCUUAGUACGAGAGGACCGGGAUGGACGGGCCGCUGGUGCACCGGUUAGACUGCCAAGUCUAUAGCCGGGUGGCCAAGCCCGGAAGGGAUAAACGCUGAAGGCAUCUAAGCGUGAAGCCCCCCUCAAGAUGAGAUAUCCCAUCCGAAAGGAGUAAACCCCCUUGAAGACGACGAGGUUGAUAGGGCAGGGGUGGAAGUACGGUAACGUAUGGAGCUGACUGCUACUAAUAGGGUGAGGGCUUGACC
rnacentral:rRNA from 1 species